ACUCCUACGGGAGGCAGCAGUGGGGAAUAUUGCACAAUGGGGGAAACCCUGAUGCAGCCAUGCCGCGUGUGUGAAGAAGGCCUUGGGUUGUAAAGCACUUUCAGUAGGGAGGAAGGUAGUGUAGUUAACACCUGCAUUAUUUGACGUUACCUACAGAAGAAGCACCGGCUAACUCCGUGCCAGCAGCCGCGGUAAUACGGAGGGUGCGAGCGUUAAUCGGAAUUACUGGGCGUAAAGCGCAUGCAGGCGGCCUGUUAAGUCAGAUGUGAAAGCCCGGGGCUUAACCUCGGAAUUGCAUUUGAAACUGGCAGGCUAGAGUCUUGUAGAGGGGUUAGAAUUUCAGGUGUAGCGGUGAAAUGCGUAGAGAUCUGAAGGAAUACCGAGUGGCGAAGGCGGCCCCCUGGACAAAGACUGACGCUCAGAUGCGAAAGCGUGGGAGCAAACAGGAUUAGAUACCCCUGGUAGACUGUCA
rnacentral:rRNA from 1 species